rnacentral:rRNA from 1 species
GACGAACGCUGGCGGCGUGCUUAACACAUGCAAGUCGAACGUGAUUUUUGUGGAAAUUCUUUCGGGAAUGGAAAUGAAAUGAAAGUGGCGAACGGGUGAGUAACACGUGAGCAACCUACCUUACACAGGGGGAUAGCCGUUGGAAACGACGAUUAAUACCGCAUGAGACCACAGAAUCGCAUGAUAUAGGGGUCAAAGAUUUAUCGGUGUAAGAAGGGCUCGCGUCUGAUUAGCUAGUUGGAAGGGUAAAGGCCUGCCAAGGCGACGAUCAGUAGCCGGUCUGAGAGGAUGAACGGCCACAUUGGAACUGAGACACGGUCCAAACUCCUACGGGAGGCAGCAGUGGGGAAUAUUGCACAAUGGGGGGAACCCUGAUGCAGCGACGCCGCGUGAGCGAAGAAGGUUUUCGAAUCGUAAAGCUCUGUCCUAUGAGAAGAUAAUGACGGUAUCAUAG